GGACCCUAAAUGGAUGGCUUUGAAUAUUCCUUAAAAUUUCUAUACUUUCUAAAGUAAUUUAUGCAUAGUGAUAAAUUUUUUUAAAAUAAUUUUUAUAUGGAUACUAUAAAUAGAUUUUAUUAUUAUUAUAUUUUUUUAAAAUAAUUAUAAAUAUUUUUAAAUUACUUGACAUAUAAAAUAUUUCAAAAUUUAUCUAUGAGAAGUUGAUUAAUCACCUACAUCAUAAUUUACAUGGUGUUGCCGACAAAAUUUGCUCUAACAUGG
rnacentral:lncRNA from 1 species